rnacentral:rRNA from 1 species
UACGUAGGGUGCGAGCGUUGUCCGGAAUUAUUGGGCGUAAAGAGCUCGUAGGCGGCUUGUCGCGUCGGAUGUGAAAGCCCGGGGCUUAACCUCGGGUCUGCAUUCGAUACGGGCAGGCUAGAGUUCGGUAGGGGAGAUCGGAAUUCCUGGUGUAGCGGUGAAAUGCGCAGAUAUCAGGAGGAACACCGGUGGCGAAGGCGGAUCUCUGGGCCGAUACUGACGCUGAGGAGCGAAAGCCAGGGGAGCAAACGGG